CAGAUUAUCAAUUAUUCAAUACAAUUGCUUUAUGCGAUUCUUCUUUGAGAGCUUAAGAGAGAUCUUGGUUCUUGACAUUGCAUCACGAAUAAGGUUUGAUACUAACUUGUAUGUUUCUUAUUCUUGCUGCUCUUGAAAUCAAUCCAUUAUAAGUGUUCUUAAUUGCAUGUUAAUUAAGGGUGCUUUAGAUUGGGGAAUUAUUUUCUGAAUUAAGUUCUUUUUACUAGGGUAUGUGUCGUUUCAGUCUCUAAUAGGCUGGGGUUCCGCAUCAAUUGGUAUCAGAGCUAGGCUUAGUAAUAAUUUCUUAACUAUCCUUUGCGUCUUUGCAUUCAAUUUUGUCCAUUAUUGGCUGAAUAUAUCACUUUGGAAAUCUGGUUUGGGAUACCUAUUAGAGCCGAAU
rnacentral:lncRNA from 1 species